rnacentral:ncRNA from 1 species
UUGCCUUAGUAACGGCGAGUGAAGCGGCAAUAGCUCAAAUUUGAAAUCUGGCUCUUUCAGAGUCCGAGUUGUAAUUUGUAGAGGAUGCUUCGGCUUACGCCCCGGUCUAAGUUCCUUGGAACAGGACGUCACAGAGGGUGAGAAUCCCGUUUGUGGCCGGCGGCUUCCGCCAUGUGAAGCUCCUUCGACGAGUCGAGUUGUUUGGGAAUGCAGCUCUAAAUGGGAGGUAAAUUUCUUCUAAAGCUAAAUACUGGCCAGAGACCGAUAGCGCACAAGUAGAGUGAUCGAAAGAUGAAAAGCACUUUGGAAAGAGAGUUAAAAAGUACGUGAAAUUGUUGAAAGGGAAGCGCUUGCGACCAGACUUGCCCGCGGAUGCUCAGCCGGUCCUUCGGCCGGUGCACUCUUCCGCGGUCAGGCCAGCAUCGGUUCGGGCGGUCGGAUAAAGGCCUUGGGAAUGUGGCUCCUUUCGGGGAGUGUUAUAGCCCUCGGUGCAAUACGGCCUGCCUGGACCGAGGCCCGCGCUUCGGCUAGGAUGCUGGCGUAAUGGUCGUAAGCGGCCCGUCUUGAAACACGGACCAAGGAGUCUAACAUCUAUGCGAGUGUUUGGGUGUCAAACCCGUGCGCGAAAUGAAAGUGAACGGAGGUGGGAACCCUCGGGUGCACCAUCGACCGAUCCUGAUGUCUUCGGAUGGAUUUGAGUAAGAGCAUAGCUGUUGGGACCCGAAAGAUGGUGAACUAUGCCUGAAUAGGGUGAAGCCAGAGGAAACUCUGGUGGAGGCUCGCAGCGGUUCUGACGUGCAAAUCGAUCGUCAAAUUUGGGUAUAGGGGCGAAAGACUAAUCGAACCAUUCAGCGUGGGUGUGCACGUUGACGUCUUGGAAUAUCAGUUUACCCCCUCCUAUAGGGGGUAGAGUGUUGUAAGGCGUUGGCGUUGGCAAUAUCCUUUAUCAAACAUGCUUAUUGUUUGCUGCUAGGUGGUUAAGAGGCGGCUAAAAGGGCCUGCCUAGUCCCUUCAUUCGGGGCGACACCGUCAAAUUGCGGGGACUUCCUGAGAGCCUGAACUACCGCGGCCUGCCGAAAGGUUAGGCGCAGCACCGGGGUAAUGACCUAGGGUAUGGUAAAAACGUUCAGGAUUGGAUAAUCCGCAGCCAAGUCCUAAGCCGCCCCUCUUCAGUGAGGGGUGAUAUGGAUGCAGUUCACAGACUAGAUGUCGGUGGGUAUGGCCUAUUCAUUUAGGCCAUGCUUAAGGUAUAGUCGGUCCCCCGUGGAGACACGGGCGACAGGCCAAAGUUUCCAAGUGGAUGAACCCCUCUCCUCACCCCCUAAGUUUAGGGAGAGAGAGAGAGAGUACUUGGUUACCCGAAGCCUGUUGGGAAGGUUUCUCACCAUUUAUGGUUGGGGG